rnacentral:rRNA from 1 species
ACGGAAGGCAGCAGUGAGGAAUAUUGCACAAUGGACGAAAGUCUGAUGCAGCAACGCCGCGUGAGGGAUGACGGUUUUCGGAUUGUAAACCUCUAUCUUUAGUGACGAAAUAAAUGACGGUAGCUAAAGCAGAAAGCCACGGCUAACUACGUGCCAGCAGCCGCGGUAAUACGUAGGUGGCAAGCGUUGUCCGGAAUUACUGGGUGUAAAGGGAGCGCAGGCGGGAUAGCAAGUCAGCGGUGAAAUAUAUGGGCUUAACCCAUAGACUGCCGUUGAAACUGUUGUUCUUGAGUGGAGUAGAGGUAAGCGGAAUUCCGAGUGUAGCGGUGAAAUGCGUAGAUAUUCGGAGGAACACCAGUGGCGAAGGCGGCUUACUGGGCUCUAACUGACGCUGAGGCUCGAAAGUGUGGGGAGCAAACAGGAUUAGAUACCCUGGUA